AGUGACAAAGGGAAUUGUGAAGCAAGACCUUUAACAUCUGGGGUGCAAGGAACAAGUGGUAAAAAUUUCACCUACAGGACAAUUCAAAUUCUCACAUUUUAUUGCUAGGACAACAAGAAAAUUCACAAACAUACUGUGUGCCUUUAUAUUGCAGUGUCAGAGCCUACAAGAGUUUGGGAAGAGUGUUUACAUUUCAGCUGCUCUGCUUACCUUCAGAAGUGUAGAGAAGCAAAAUAUACCCAGGCUGAGUGUGAAGAAACCCCAAAUUGGCUAGAAUAUAGCAAAGGGAAUUCAGAGUGGUUUAUCUGGUUGGAAAAUUCUCUGGGCAAAACAGUCUUGUUUUGCUGCUGGACACUGUAAUCCAAGACUGGAAAACAGACUGAUGAAAGGGUGAAAAUCUUUUCUCAACAGAAGAGUUGGUUAAGAGUGUUAAGACCAGGUAAGAAUAGUUUGGGUAUUUAAAAAAAAACACAAAGAUAGAAAUUCCUGGUCCUGUUUCUUAUUGUUCAGUCAUGUCUUACUCUUCAUGAUGCCAUUUGGGGCUUUCUUGGCAAAGCUACUGGAAUGAUAUCUUGCUAUUUUCUUCUCCAGCUCAUUUUUGCAGCUGAGAAAAUCGAGGCAAACAGGGUUAAUUGGCUUGACCAAAGUCACACAAUUAAUCAGUACCUGGUUUGAACUCACAAGGAUAAGUCUUACUAACUGCAGACUGGCCCUCUAGCCAGUGUACCACCUAGCUGCCAAUGGCAAUGACAAUAACAAAGAACGGUUUGGACAUUUAAAAAAAAGGGAUUAAAGUUCACUUUGCUGAAUUGUGUUUCCAGAGGAUGUAAUUCCUAUCUCUGAUUUAUUUGUUUUUAGGGGGAAUGCAUAGUAUUUCUCUUCAUCUGGGGUCCCCACAAUCAUGACUUUACCCUCCUUCCAGUUUCUACUUUGCCUGAUCCCUGCCUGUCCCAGCUCAGGCAGUCAAGAGGACUCAACUGGAUUCCUUUCUGUGAACAAACUGGCUUAUCGGAGGCAAGGUAGUGGGAGUUCCUCAGGCAAACAAAGGAGAUCUUUGGAAGGAGUCUUGCCAACAUUUCUGAAGCCACAAAGGCUGCCCUACACAGGGAUAAUAAAUAUUUAUCUCCCCAUCUUAUUUUGUAAGGUUGGAAAGAAUACAUUGUGGCUCUAA
rnacentral:lncRNA from 1 species